rnacentral:rRNA from 1 species
CUCCAAACCCCUGUGAACAUACCUAUACGUUGCCUCGGCGGAUCAGCCCGCGCCCUGUAAAACGGGACGGCCCGCCCGAGGACCCUAAACUCUGUUUUUAGUGGAACUUCUGAGUAAAACAAACAAAUAAAUCAAAACUUUCAACAACGGAUCUCUUGGUUCUGGCAUCGAUGAAGAACGCAGCAAAAUGCGAUAAGUAAUGUGAAUUGCAGAAUUCAGUGAAUCAUCGAAUCUUUGAACGCACAUUGCGCCCGCCAGUAUUCUGGCGGGCAUGCCUGUUCGAGCGUCAUUUCAACCCUCAAGCUCAGCUUGGUGUUGGGACUCGCGGUAAACCCGCGUUCCCCAAAUCGAUUGGCGGUCACGUCGAGCUUCCAUAGCGUAGUAAUCAUACACCUCGUUACUGGUAAUCGUCGCGGCCACGCCGUAAAACCCCAACUUCUGAAUGUUGACCUCGGAUCAGGUAGGAAUACCCGCUGAACUUAAGCUAAUCAAUAGGCCCGGAGGAAA